CGAACCUGACCUAAACUCCCUGUUUGCAGCCAAUAUGGAAAAAUAAUUAACCUACUCAACCAUUUUCGUACCUGACUCGUAUGAACCAAAAUAUUGAAAUAAAUCUAAACUUACUCCCUCAACCACACAUACAUAAUCUCUUAUUAUUCUCUCACUGAAACCCUACAGCACCUUCUUCAUUUUUCAUCGGUCGUUACACCUCAAUUGUCUGAAUCACUGCAUCGAUCAUCAUCUCUACUUGUGGUGUGCGUUUUGUCUGUUAAACCGUGUUCAAUUUCUGCCUUAGUUUCCUCUUCUUCUCCUCUCUCAGUCAGAUUUUCACUAUUUUGUCUUCGACUCUUUUUCCUUCAUGGAAAUGUAUAUCACUUCUUCCAUGGCAUAUUUACAUGUGGUAUUGAAGUUUUGUGCAAUUGGUGGAUUCGUUGGAAGAAGUUUUUUGGAACUUAUGUGUUGGAGUGUGUUGCAUAAAUGAGGGAAUCUCACUAUUUACAGUUUGCUCAUGGAUUUUCAUAGCCUUUUGGGUUCUCAGAGAUGGGUUUGGAUUGGAUAAUGAAUCUAACAACUAUAUGUAUAUGUCUCCUAAUCCUCUCCAUUGCGAUAUAAACUCGUUAGCUCCAAGCACAACAUCUUCUUCCUUUUUCUCUACCAUUAAUUCUUUAUUUUCUUUGCUCAUUCUUUACCGCUCAAGAUUGAUUUGUUGGGAGUGGGGUGGGAGAGUGUUUUAUACUUGAGAUUGUUGAUCAGUCUUUUUUUCUUCUUUAAGUUAAAAAUUAAAGAAUUAUUGUUUAUAAAACUUCUUGAAACAUC
rnacentral:lncRNA from 1 species